CCAGCGCAGAGAGGACUGCUAUCCUGACGGCGAGCAACAUGAGCAACGAGGGGGUCCUUCUGCAGGUUACGGCAAUGGUCCAGUGGAGGCAACGUCGAUGAUUUGCUGCUUCCCGCAGUUCUUUUCUUGCCGGGCAUGCCGCCCAAGAGGAAUUCCAGGUCCACCAGUGCCGUCGACUCACCUGUGCCAGCGACAGAGGACCUGCUACAGCAGAUGACUUCACUCCGUACUGUCUCAACAGCUCUGCUGUCCUCGGACACCCGCUGCGCCUGAGCUUAACGUUACCGACGCUUUCCAAACAUAGCGGCCCCAGGUCGGACUUCAUCGGCUUCGAAGCUUGCAAAACCGGCCACCCGAGUAAGACUGUCGUCCUGCAUAGAGUACUGCCCGCAGCUCCUGGCUGACUGUUCGUCCGGUGACAUCUUGUACCUGCCAGACGUUUGACAAGUCUCGCUUUUCUACUGCGAGGGAACCUGAAGUUGAGACGAUCAAAGCCCUAUACGAGCGCUUAUACGAGAUGCAUCGUGACUACUGUUGCUGGCAGCGAUCACGUUACUACGCAUGGGUACGUCCUCUGCAAGGGACUGUGGUAUAUGCAAAUAAAUAUGCUAUUGUUGGUUGAA